CAGCAGCCACGGGAAUACGAAGGGUGCAAGCGUUACUCGGAAUUACUGGGCGUAAAGCGUGUGUAGGUGGUUGUUUAAGUCUGUCGUGAAAGCCCUGGGCUCAACCUGGGAAUUGCGAUGGAUACUGGGCGACUAGAGUGCGGUAGAGGAUAGUGGAAUUUCCGGUGUAGCAGUGAAAUUCGUAGAUAUUCGGAAGAACACCAGUGGCGAAGGCGGCUUACUGGCUCAUACUGGACGCUGAGGUGCGAAAGCGUGGGGAGCAAACAGGAUUAGAUACCCCUGUAGUCCCUGUCUCUUAUAC
rnacentral:rRNA from 1 species